UACGUAGGGUGCGAGCGUUAAUCGGAAUUACUGGGCGUAAAGCGUGCGCAGGCGGUUCUCCAAGUCCGUUGUGAAAGCCCGGGCUCAACCUGGGAAUGGCAGUGGAAACUAGGGGACUGGAAUCUGGCAGAGGGGGUGGAAUGCCGCGUGUAGCAGUGAAAUGCGUAGAUAUGCGGAGGAACACCGAUGGCGAAGGCAAUCCCCUGGGCCUGCACUGACGCUCAUGCACGAAAGCGUGGGGAGCAAAC
rnacentral:rRNA from 1 species